rnacentral:rRNA from 1 species
GACGAACCGUACGAACGUUAUUCGGAAUCACUGGGCUUAAAGGGUGCGUAGGCUGCGCAGCAAGUUGGGUGUGAAAUCCCUCGGCUUAACCGAGGAACUGCGCCCAAAACUGCUGUGCUCGAGGGAGAUAGAGGUGAGCGGAACUUAGGGUGGAGCGGUGAAAUGCGUUGAUAUCCUAAGGAACACCAGUGGCGAAAGCGGCUCACUGGAUCUCUUCUGACGCUGAGGCACGAAAGCUAGGGUAGCGAACGGG